rnacentral:rRNA from 1 species
UACGUAGGGUGCAAGCGUUGUCCGGAAUUAUUGGGCGUAAAGAGCUCGUAGGCGGUUCGUCGCGUCGGCUGUGAAAACCCGGAGCUCAACUCCGGGCCUGCAGUCGAUACGGGCGGACUUGAGUGUUGCAGGGGAGACUGGAAUUCCUGGUGUAGCGGUGGAAUGCGCAGAUAUCAGGAGGAACACCGGUGGCGAAGGCGGUUCUCUGGGCAUUACCUGACGCUGAGGAGCGAAAGUGUGGGGAGCGAACAGG